UACGUAGGGUGCGAGCGUUGUCCGGAAUCAUUGGGCGUAAAGAGCGUGUAGGCGGCCACUUAAGUCCUGCGUGAAAUCUUGCGGCUCAACCGCAAGCGGUCGUGGGAAACUGGGUGGCUAGAGUGCGGGAGAGGAGAGUGGAAUUCCUGGUGUAGCGGUGGAAUGCGCAGAUAUCAGGAAGAACACCCGUGGCGAAGGCGGCUCUCUGGAACGCAACUGACGCUGAGGCGCGAAAGCGUGGGGAGCAAACAGG
rnacentral:rRNA from 1 species